rnacentral:rRNA from 1 species
UACGGGGGGGGUAAGCGUUGUUCGGAAUUACUGGGCGUAAAGGGCUCGUAGGCGGCCAACUAAGUCAGACGUGAAAUCCCUCAGCUUAACUGGGGAACUGCGUCUGAUACUGGAUGGCUUGGAUUCGGGAGAGGAAUGCGGAAUUCCAGGUGUAGCGGUGAAAUGCGUAGAUAUCUGGAGGAAUACCGGUGGCGAAGGCGGCAUCCUGGACCAUAACUGACGCUGAGGCGCGAAAGCUAGGGGAGCAAACGGG